UUAUGCCGGAGCCGAAACCACUAAAAACGGGGCGGAACCCGAAAAGCCUUACGAGUAGGAAUAUU
rfam:Paludibacter jiangxiensis DNA, scaffold: PJIAN_1, strain: NM7.